rnacentral:pre_miRNA from 1 species
AUCACCUGGAGAUCUUGUUGAAAUGUAGGUUCUGACUCAGCAGGUCUGUGGUAAGGCCUGAGAUUCUGCAUUUCUAACAAACUUCCAGGUGAUGCCAA